UACUACAUGGAUUAGAGGCUCCAAUAGAAGCCAUCAUAGUUCAUCUGUGCAGCCAAAAGCCUUAACAUUUUCUUCCGAAGUGUUGUCAGCAUCUUCAGAGAGUGACAAGAAGUGUCCAUAUUUCAAUUUUCAAGUAAAAAAAACUUAUCUUGCACCCUG